rnacentral:rRNA from 1 species
CCCUUAGAUGUCCUGAGCCGCACGCGCGCUACACUGAUGCAUUCAACGAGUUUUACCUUGGCCGAGAGGCCUGGGCAAUCUUUUAAACCUGCAUCGUGAUAGGGAUAGAUUAUUGCAAUUAUUAAUCUUGAACGAGGAAUUCCUAGUAAACGCAGAUCAUCAAUCUGCAUUGAUUACGUCCCUGCCCUUUGUACACACCGCCCGUCGCACCUACCGAUUGAAUGGUCCGGUGAAGCCUCGGGAUUGUGGCCAGUUCACUUUAUUGGGAGUUGGCUGCGAGAACUUGUCUAAACCUUAUCAUUUAGAGGAAGGUGAAGUCGUAACA